AAUGAACGCUGGCGGCGCGCCUAAUACAUGCAAGUCGAGCGAGAAGACGUAGCAAUACGUUUGUAAAGCGGCGAACGGGUGAGGAAUACAUGGGUAACCUACCCUCGAGUGGGGAAUAACUAGCCGAAAGGUUAGCUAAUACCGCGUACGCUCCUUGGACUUCGGUUCAGGGAGGAAAGCGAUACCGUGGGUAUCGCGCUCUUGGUUGGGCUCAUGUCCUAUCAGCUUGUUGGUGAGGUAACGGCUCACCAAGGCUUCGACGGGUAGCUGGUCUGAGAGGACGAUCAGCCACACUGGCACUGCGACACGGGCCAGACUCCUACGGGAGGCAGCAGUAAGGAUAUUGCGCAAUGGGCGAAAGCCUGACGCAGCGACGCCGCGUGGGGGAUGAA
rnacentral:rRNA from 1 species